CCCCCCAAAUGAUUCACAAUUAAAAGUUUAUUCAUUACUGAACAGUUGAAUUAUAGAGAAGUUCUGCCAAAAUUAUAUAAGGGUGUUGAUGUCAUGUCUAGACAAUUAUGAGCCUUACUUGUGAAGAUGUGUCCUACGUUUAGAUGGAUGAGGGAAAUGAACAGAGUUAUUCAUGAAGAAAGAGAAUUGAAAACAUGGUUUCGGGCAAAUAAAGGUUUGAAUCCAAAUAGCUGGUACCUUAAAUUAUGAAAAAGUUUGUCUAGACAACGGCGUAGAUCAAUUGAGUCGUCCUUAAUGUCCUUGUAAACAAACGCAAGUGCCUUCUUUUUUUCUUCUGAAACGUUCUGGCGAGUUGAGCGAUGUGCAAAGACGUGAGAUUAAAAACGCAAGGUGACUUGCGCAGCGCUCGAGGCAGCCGAAGUUGGAACUGGCCGUAUGGUGUUUGUGAAGAGGGAGUUUGCAUGCGGAAAUUUAAGGAUAAAAUGUUGAUCGGAUCACGUCCAGUGAAUGCAAAAUGUGGUAAAUACUAUGUAAAUGAGUGCAAAAAAAAUGUAGAAAACACGUUGAAACACUUUAUAGAGAUGACAGUGGCUGUCACAUUGAGUGAGGUCGGAUGUAGAACAUGAUUUUUGAAUUAGUUCUACUUCUCACAUUACUCAGUUCCACACUUACUGGUCGUCAUAGUUCAUAGAUGUGUGAAAAAAAAGCAUUUUCAUAGCUGACUCUGAGGCUGCAUCAAAUGUCACCAAACGCAUUGUCACCAAAUUUUGCGAGUCACUUCCAUCCCACAGACCAUGUUUGAUGAAUUUCUGCUGUAAUUUUUUUUUACUGAUUUAUAAAAUAAGACUGUAAUCAAACAAUGUUUGAAAAUGUUGUAUAAAAAGUACCUCCAAACAUCCAUUCAUAUAAACUAGGCUUACUGAAUGGCAAGAGGCAUAUGACUAUUUGGUAACUAGGCCAACACAAUGGUUAGAGCUGUAUUUUUAAGUUAAGAUAGGUGCAGGUGAAACCAAUAGGCUAGGCCUACUUUAGAAUGCAUAAUUCAUCUGACACGUGUUUGACGAUACGCCGUUGGAGGUGACACUGUUAUGAACGAAAUCUUUCUGUUGGAACAGCUGUGAAUGGAGUCACAGUACAUGUCCUAAAAGAGAUAAGCCUACAGGUUAUGGUGGCAAUGCAAAUCGGUGGCAAAAAUCUAUCAUGCGGGAAAGAGAAGCAAACCGAUAGCAGCUUCAAUGCUCAUUGUGUCCAAAAAUAGCACCGGUGUCGGUCUUAUCACCAGAACCGAGCACCUGCAUACACUACAUGGUUUAAUUUGCGUCGGAUACGUGCUGGCUGCGUGACAUUUCAUUUUUUUUCAAGGAAGAAGUGGAAUUCUCAGUCGACCGGAACUGCUCGCGUUUUAAUCACUCAAUACCAGGACGCUGCGCUUCAGGGCCCAUGCAGGCUGCCACGCGAAGGAUUCCUCAGUUUCGUGCGCUGCCUCCUUUCAAUGAAAGCUGCUGCCAGGAUAAUGGCUUCAAAUGGGGCUGACAUCGAUUCAAUGGAGAAGCAGUCUUGACGGUUAGCAGGAUUUGGCUACAGUGUAGGGUUUUUUUGGCUUUUCUGCGGCAGCACGAGACGGGCAAAUUGCAGCGGAGUAAUUACCCUUCUGAUUACGCCGCUCCGUGUUCCUGACGACCCCCCCCCCGAACCCGCAGCCGCUGGCCCUCCCGAUCCGUCGCGGACCUCACCCAACCUUCCGCUUUUUCUCUUUCGCCCCUAGACCGGGGCAUCAAU